CAGUGAGAUACCACUCUUGGUAAGCUAGAAAGCUCAGUCUUAACCGUUAUCCGGUAAGACGACAGUUUCAGGCGGGCAGUUUGACUGGGGCAGUCACCUCCCAAAAGGUAAUGGAGGUGCACAAAGGUUCCCUCAGGUUGGACGGAAAUCAACCAUAGAGUGUAAAAGCAUAAGGGAGCUUGACUGCGAGACUGACAUGUCAAGCAGAGACGAAAGUCGGUUUUAGUGAUCCGACGGUGCUGCGUGGAAAGGCCGUCGCUCAACGGAUAAAAGUUACUCUAGGGAUAAC
rnacentral:rRNA from 1 species